AGCUCCAUUAGCGUAUAUUAACGUUGUUGCAGUUAAAAAGCUCGUAGUUGGAUUUGUGGUGGGUUGCGGAGUCUCCAAAUUUGGAGUAUUUUGUGACUUGCCAUCCUUGGGUGGAAUCUGUGUGGCAUUAGGUUGUCGCGCAGGGGAUGCCCAUCGUUUACUGUGAAAAAAUUAGAGUGUUCAAAGCAGGCUUAUGCCGUUGAAUAUAUUAGCAUGGAAUAAUAAGAUAGGACCUUGGUACUAUUUUGUUGGUUUGCGCACCGAGGUAAUGAUUAAUAGGGACAGUUGGGGGUAUUCGUAUUCCAUUGUCAGAGGUGAAAUUCUUGGAUUUUUGGAAGACGAACUACUGCGAAAGCAUUUACCAAGGAUGUUUUCA
rnacentral:rRNA from 1 species